ensembl:snRNA U6 U6 spliceosomal RNA
GAACAAAUCAGUAGCACAUAUAUUAAAAUUGGAGUGGUACAGAGAAGAUUAGCAUGGCCCCCUCAGAAGGAUGACAUGCAAAUUCAUGAAGCAUUCCAUAUUUUU